GACGAACGCUGGCGGCGUGCCUAAUACAUGCAAGUCGAGCGCAGGAAAUCAUCCGAACCCUUCGGGGGGGCGUUGAUGGAAUGAGCGGCGGACGGGUGCGUAACACGUAAAGAACCUGCCCUAAGGUCUGGGAUAAACACGAGAAAUCGGGGCUAAUACCGAUGGGUCAGAGGAGCGCAUGGUCCGAGGAUGAGAGGCGUCCCGGCGUCGCCUGGGGAUGGAUUUGCGGUGCAUUAGCUAGUUGGUGGGGUAAUGGCCCACCAAGGCGACGAUGCAUAGCCGAUCGGAGAGGGUGAUCGGCCACACUGGGACUGAGACACGGCCCAGACUCCUACGGGAGGCAGCAGUAGGGAAUCUUCCACAAUGGACGAAAGUCUGAUGGAGCAACGCCGCGUGAACGAUGAAGGCCUUCGGGUCGUAAAGUUCUGUUGUAAGGGAAGAAAAAGUGCCGCAGGCAAUGGCGGCACCUUGACGGUACCUUGCGAGAAAGCCACGGCUAACUACGUGCCAGCAGCCGCGGUAA
rnacentral:rRNA from 1 species